CCUACGGGUGGCAGCAGUGAGGAAUAUUGGUCAAUGGACGAGAGUCUGAACCAGCCAAGUAGCGUGAAGGAUGACUGCCCUAUGGGUUGUAAACUUCUUUUAUAUGGGAAUAAAAUGUUCCACGUGUGGGAUUUUGUAUGUACUAUAUGAAUAAGGAUCGGCUAACUCCGUGCCAGCAGCCGCGGUAAUACGGAGGAUCCGAGCGUUAUCCGGAUUUAUUGGGUUUAAAGGGAGCGUAGGUGGAUUGUUAAGUCAGUUGUGAAAGUUUGCGGCUCAACCGUAAAAUUGCAGUUGAAACUGGCAGUCUUGAGUACAGUAGAGGUGGGCGGAAUUCGUGGUGUAGCGGUGAAAUGCUUAGAUAUCACGAAGAACUCCGAUUGCGAAGGCAGUUCACUGGACUGCCACUGACACUGAGGCUCGAAAGUGUGGGUAUCAAACAGGAUUAGAUACCCUGGUAGUC
rnacentral:rRNA from 1 species